CAGAGCGUGGGCUCUAAAGCUCCAGGUCAGUAGUUGUGUGCCCUGGUUCAGUUGCCCUUCAGCACGUGGAAUCUUUCCAGAGCAGAGAGCAAACCCAUGUCUUCUGUGUUGGCAGGCAGAUUCUCAACCACUGGACCACCAGGGAAGUCCUGUAUAUCGAUUGACCUUUUAUCCUGUAGCCUUUUUGAACUUGCUUGUUAAUUCUAAUGAUAUUUUUUCUAGAUUCCUUAGAAUCUACUAUAUGCAAGAGGAUGUCAUCCACAAAUAGAGUAUUAUUUUAUGAAGGAAUCCACUUCCAUGACUCAUGAAGCCCGGCUGAGUUAAGAGAGAUGAGUUCCCAAGGGCACAGGCUCCAGAGCACUCAGUCUUCAGUAGUCAUGGGGCACUGACAUAGUCGCCCUGCAGCGUAUGGAAUCUUCCUGGACCAGGAAUUGAACCUGCGCCCCUGCAUUGGAAGGCAGAUUCUUAACUAUUGGACCACCAGGGAAGUUCUCUAACACCUUCUUUCUCCAGAUGGAGUUGUCUUAGGUGAGGAUUUAAAGCCCGUCCCUGUUACUCCAUCUCAGCUGGACGAAGAAAUCCUUAUGAUCAGAUUUCCCUGAUGGUCCAGCAGCUAAGACUCCAAGGUUGAUCCAUGGUUGGGGAACUAGAUCCCCAACUAAAGAUCCUGCAUGCCUGCAGUGAAGAUCAACAAUCCCUCAUUCCACUGCUGAGACCCGGCACAGCCAACAAUAAAUAAAUAAAUAAAAUCCAGGGCCUCCCUGGUGGCUCAGUGUUGAAAAACCCACCUGCCAAAGCAGGAGACUCGGGUUCGAUCCCUGGUCCUGGUCCAGGAAGAUCCCAUGUGUCGUGGAGCAACGAAGCCCAUGUGCCACGACUGUUGACCGUGGGAGUCACAACUGCUGAGCCAACGGGCUGAAGCUCCUGAAGCCGACAUGCCCUAGAGCCUGUGUUCUGCAAGGAGAGAAGUCACGGCAGUGAGAAGCCCGCACACCGCAGCAAAGAGUAGCCCCUGCUUGCUACUAGAGAAAAGCCAUAAAGCAAGGACGAUGCACCACAGCCAAAAAUAAACA